AACGAACGCUGGCGGCAGGCCUAACACAUGCAAGUCGAACGUGAAGCUGGAGCUUGCUCCAGUGGAAAGUGGCAGACGGGUGAGUAACGCGUGGGAAUCUACCCAAUGGUGCGGAAUAACUCAGGGAAACUUGUGCUAAUACCGUAUGAGCCCUUCGGGGAAAGAUUUAUCGCCAUUGGAUGAGCCCGCGUUAGAUUAGUUUGUUGGUGGGGUAAUGGCCUACCAAGACUACGAUCUAUAGCUGGUCUGAGAGGAUGAUCAGCCACACUGGGACUGAGACACGGCCCAGACUCCUACGGGAGGCAGCAGUGGGGAAUAUUGCACAAUGGGCGCAAGCCUGAUGCAGCCAUGCCGCGUGAGUGAAGAAGGCCUUAGGGUUGUAAAACUCUUUCACCGGUGAAGAUAAUGACGGUAGCCGGAGAAGAAGCCCCGGCUAACUCCGUG
rnacentral:rRNA from 1 species